CUUUGGUCUUUGGGUCUAUUUUCUUACUUCUGUUGACAAAUAGAUUUUCUCAAGUGUCUAAGGUGAGGUAAGUUCAACUUUUUCUUAAUUAAUAAUAAGAAUAGUCAUUAUUUUUCUUUUAUAUAUAUAACAUGCCCAAAUAGGCUGCUAAUUCAUCUCUCUUCAUUAUCUUAUAUGUGUUGAUGUUGUCUUGAAUCAUGUAUCACUAUUUAUUUUUCCCGUUUAUUCCUUUCACAUGAUUUUUGUAAAGUUAGUCAACAAUUUUGGUAUUUCUGUACGAAGCUCUGAAUCGUGGUGCUUUCAAUAUAUGGAUGCCAAUCCAAACUGAUUAAUAGCUGUACUCUUAAUUUCUUUGUAAUCAACAAAUGAUAACUGUUUCCCUACUUGGAUUUUGUUACAGUGCUUACUGACGUCAUUAUGGGAAGCCAUUAAGUCUAAUGUUUAGGAGGUCAUUUUCUCUUUUAUUACCAUUAAAUAGAGGGGCCAUUUCUUGUAUGGAACCUCUUAUUAUUAUAUUUCAGUUUCGAAGACAUGAAUUUCUGCUCAAUUGUUUUGUUACUUUCUCUGUUCUAUUAAUGUCAAUCCAACUACAGACUUAGUGUUUCCAUAUUGCUGAUAAAAUGCAUCCAAGUUCCAACUCUCUGUUCUAUUGCACUUGUUACAGUUACUGAUUGUAAUGGAAAUGGGGCAGAGAUUGGCGAAGUAUGACAUUUUUGUUCUUUAGUUUGAACUUCUGUUCUUUAGUUUGAACUUCUUGAGGAUGAGAUACGACAAGUUUGACAUUUUUGAAUUGGAUUGGUUGUACAAUUGUGUUCUUGAGUUCUGAGAAUGAGAUACAAUAACUGGUCAUGUUCGUUUUAGACACAUCACAGUGGGUUUUGAUAUACCUUCUCAGCACUUCCAUUCCUCUUGUUAGACCAUCUCCUAAUAAUAUGUUGUACUUCACAAUAGUAUGUUGUACUUCAUAGCUACAGCUCUUAACUCUAUCUCCUGAUAAUAUGUUGUACUUCACAAGUUGCAUUACUUUUUUAACCGCCAGUUUCUUCAUCUUUCACUAUCAAAGCGUUGUAAAUAUUGGACAUUUUUCUUUGAUUAUCAACCCUUUGGUUGUCUAGUGUUCGAUUAAAGGAGAGAUGGUUGGCAUCUCCCCUGACAGGGUCGGGAACAGCCUUCGGGCUUUCCUGUUAACACAUACGGUUAAGGCUACCCACCUCUUGAAGGUGGAUCUAACCCUUUGGUUGUCUCUUAUGUGUGGUGAUAUCUUAAUCGUGAGUUAUAAGGGGCCUUAUGUGAACACAAACUGAGACUAGUGUAAGAUUAUAACUGAGUUAUUAUACUCUUGGAUGUGAUAUUUUAGCAACAUUUGGAGUAACUCUUUAAUUGACAGUUCCACUUGAGGAAGGAGGGGCUGUCGUAGUUGCUGAAUCUUCUACUGUCUCAUCAUGAUACUUCAUUAGCUGUAACUACCUUUAGUUCGGUUUAUCAUUUCCUAUUGAGGUUGCCUUCAACUUGAAGAAUGGAUAUGCCAUAUGCAAUGUUUUUCUUCCAAUUAGAACCUGGAGAUAGUUCAUGUGUGGUUUCCUGGAGUACAAGAUGGCAAAGUAGUGUUGCUCAAGUAAAUAUCACGUGCAGAACAUGUGCUUUGUUGGGAUGAGAAGGUGCCUCUCCCAUAGUUUGGAUGUCUUUUUUUUAGAUACAAUACAAAGUCAUUAGAUAGUCUAAUUGCUCAGAGUUUUGAGUCAAUCACAUUGAGAUAUAAUUGUUCAGACUCCCCUGAGAAAUUCUGUUGGGUUCAUUCAUAAAUGGAAUAUAGUUACAGUACAGAAGUACACGACUAAAGCACUCCAAAAGCACUCCAAGCGCAACAAAAAAAAAAAAAAAAAAAAA